rnacentral:rRNA from 1 species
GGGCCCGCACAAGCGGUGGAGUAUGUGGUUUAAUUCGAUGCAACGCGAAGAACCUUACCAACACUUGACAUGUUCGUCGCGACUUUAAGAGAUUAAAGUUUUCGGUUCGGCCGGACGAAACACAGGUGCUGCAUGGCUGUCGUCAGCUCGUGUCGUGAGAUGUUGGGUUAAGUCCCGCAACGAGCGCAACCCUCACUUUUAGUUGCCAUCAUUUAGUUGGGCACUCUGAAAGAACUGCCAGUGAUAAGCUGGAGGAAGGUGGGGAUGACGUCAAGUCCUCAUGGCCCUUACGUGUUGGGCUACACACGUGCUACAAUGGUAUCUACAACAGGAAGCAAGACGGCGACGUUAAGCAAAUCCUUAAAAGAUACCUCAGUUCGGAUUGUACUCUGCAACUCGAGUACAUGAAGCUGGAAUUACUAGUAAUCGUGGAUC